CGAAACCAGGUGAUCUACCCAUGUCCAGGAUGAAGGUAAGGUAAUACUUACUGGAGGUCCGAACCCACGCACGUUGAAAAGUGCGGGGAUGAGGUGUGGGUAGCGGAGAAAUUCCAAUCGAACUUGGAGAUAGCUGGUUCUCUCCGAAAUAGCUUUAGGGCUAGCCUCGAGGUAAAGAGUCAUGGAGGUAGAGCACUGUUUGGACUAGGGGCCCUUCUCGGGUUACCGAAUUCAGAUAAACUCCGAAUGCCAUGUACUUAUACUCGGGAGUCAGACUGCGAGUGAUAAGAUCCGUAGUCGAAAGGGAAACAGCCCAGACCACCAGUUAAGGUCCCCAAAUAUAUGUUAAGUGGAAAAGGAUGUGGGGUUGCUUAGACAACCAGGAUGUUGGCUUAGAAGCAGCCACCAUUGAAAGAGUGCGUAAUAGCUCACUGGUCGAGUGACCCCGCGCCGAAAAUGUACCGGGGCUAAACAUAUUACCGAAACUGUGGAUGAACCUCUUCGGAGGUUCGUGGUAGGAGAGCGUUCUAAGGGCGGUGAAGUCAGACCGGAAGGACUGGUGGAGCGCUUAGAAGUGAGAAUGCCGGUAUGAGUAGCGAAAGAAGGGUGAGAAUCCCUUCCACCGAAUAUCUAAGGUUUCCUGAGGAAGGCUCGUCCGCUCAGGGUUAGUCGGGACCUAAGCCGAGGCCGAUAGGCGUAGGCGAUGGACAACAGGUAGAGAUUCCUGUACCAGUGCUAAUUGUUUAACCGAUGGGGUGACACAGAAGGAUAGGGAAUCGCACGAAUGGAAAUGUGCGUCCAAGCAGUGAGUGUGAGAAGUAGGCAAAUCCGCUUCUCGCGAAGCAUGAGCUGUGAUGGGGAAGGAAAUUAAGUACGGAAGUUCCUGAUUUCACGCUGUCAAGAAAAGCCUCUAGGAAGAGUAGUACUGCCCGUACCGCAAACCGACACAGGUAGAUGAGGAGAGAAUCCUAAGGUGAGCGAGAGAACUCUCGUUAAGGAACUCGGCAAAAUGACCCCGUAACUUCGGGAGAAGGGGUGCUCUAUUAGGGUGCAAGCCCGAGAGAGCCGCAGUGAAUAGGCCCAGGCGACUGUUUAGCAAAAACACAGGUCUCUGCAAAACCGUAAGGUGACGUAUAGGGGCUGACGCCUGCCCGGUGCUGGAAGGUUAAGAGGAGUGCUUAGCUUCGGCGAAGGUACGAAUUGAAGCCCCAGUAAACGGCGGCCGUAACUAUAACGGUCCUAAGGUAGCGAAAUUCCUUGUCGGGUAAGUUCCGACCCGCACGAAAGGCGCAACGAUCUGGGCACUGUCUCAACGAGAGACUCGGUGAAAUUAUAGUACCUGUGAAGAUGCAGGUUACCCGCGACAGGACGGAAAGACCCCGUGGAGCUUUACUGCAACCUGAUAUGGAAUGUUUGUACCGCUUGUACAGGAUAGGUAGGAGCCGAAGAGACGUGUGCGCUAGCAUACGAGGAGGCAAUGGUGGGAUACUACCCUGGCUGUAUGACCAUUCUAACCCGCCACGCUUAGCGCGUGGGGAGACAGUGUCAGGUGGGCAGUUUGACUGGGGCGGUCGCCUCCUAAAGAGUAACGGAGGCGCCCAAAGGUUCCCUCAGAAUGGAUGGAAAUCAUUCGCAGAGUGUAAAGGCACAAGGGAGCUUGACUGCGAGACUGACAAGUCGAGCAGGGACGAAAGUCGGGCUUAGUGAUCCGGUGGUUCCGCAUGGAAGGGCCAUCGCUCAACGGAUAAAAGCUACCCCGGGGAUAACAGGCUUAUCUCCCCCAAGAGUCCACAUCGACGGGGAGGUUUGGCACCUCGAUGUCGGCUCGUCGCAUCCUGGGGCUGUAGUCGGUCCCAAGGGUUGGGCUGUUCGCCCAUUAAAGCGGCACGCGAGCUGGGUUCAGAACGUCGUGAGACAGUUCGGUCCCUAUCCGUCGCGGGCGCAGGAAAUUUGAGAGGAGCUGUCCUUAGUACGAGAGGACCGGGAUGGACACACCGCUGGUGUACCAGUUGUUCCGCCAGGAGCAUCGCUGGGUAGCUAUGUGUGGCAGGGAUAAACGCUGAAAGCAUCUAAGCGUGAAGCCCCCCUCAAGAUGAGAUUUCCCAUUUCUUCGGAAAGUAAGAUCCCUGAAAGAUGAUCAGGUAGAUAGGUUUGGAGUGGAAGUGUAGCGAUACAUGGAGCGGACAAAUACUAAUCGAUCGA
rnacentral:rRNA from 1 species